rnacentral:snoRNA from 1 species
AAACUAUGGAGUGGACAGCUCCUUAGUAAAUCCUUGAAACGUUCCCAACAAUCGUAAAAAGUCUCAUUCUUUUACUGAAGAAACCCAGCUAUAUUAUUCCUCAACUU